AUGUGUUUAGGUCUUGUGAUUGCUCAUCUUCCUCUUCUAAAAUAUGAUAACCGCUCACUCUUCACAUUUCGCAGCGAUGUCGUUCGACGCUCAACCUUCUUCUUCUUCUUCAUUAGAUCGAACACGCCUCUACCGACACCUUCAACCCUUUGCCGUUCUCCUUGUACUUCCGUUGUUAACCACCUUUUCCUCAAACACCGACACUGCAACACUCCUUCUCUCAUCUUCUUCUAA